rnacentral:rRNA from 1 species
UACGUAGGGCGCAAGCGUUGUCCGGAAUUAUUGGGCGUAAAGAGCUUAUAGGUGGCUUGUCGCGUCUGCCGUGAAAACCCGAGGCUCAACCUCGGGCGGUGCGGUGGGUACGGGCAAUACUUGAGUGCUGUAGGGGAGACUGGAAUUCCUGGUGUAGCGGUGAAAUGCGUAGAGAUUAGGAGGAACAUCGAUGGCGAAGGCAGCCAUCUGGACCAGCACUGACGCUGAGGCACGAAAGCGUGGGGAGGCAAACAGGAUUAGAUA